rnacentral:rRNA from 1 species
UAGGGAAUCUUCCACAAUGGACGCAAGUCUGAUGGAGCAACGCCGCGUGAGUGAAGAAGGUCUUCGGAUCGUAAAGCUCUGUUGUUGGUGAAGAAGGAUAGAGGCAGUAACUGGUCUUUAUUUGACGGUAAUCAACCAGAAAGUCACGGCUAACUACGUGCCAGCAGCCGCGGUAAUACGUAGGUGGCAAGCGUUGUCCGGAUUUAUUGGGCGUAAAGCGAGCGCAGGCGGAAUGAUAAGUCUGAUGUGAAAGCCCACGGCUCACNUGAGACUGCAUCGGA